rnacentral:sRNA from 1 species
CUUGGUCAUUUAGAGGAAGUAAAAGUCAUAACAAGGUUUCCGUAGGUGAACCUGCGGAAGGAUCAUUAAUAAUGCCCUCUGGCUUCGGUCAGCUGGGUUCAAUGUGUGUCAUCUCUUCGGAGAUGGCCAUCCACACACACCGUGAACUGUGACUUCGGUCAUCACAAACUUUUAGUAAUGAAUGUAAAAAUCAUAACAAAAUAAAACUUUUAACAACGGAUCUCUUGGCUCUCGCAUCGAUGAAGAACGCAGCGAAAUGCGAUAAGUAAUGUGAAUUGCAGAAUUCAGUGAAUCAUCGAAUCUUUGAACGCACCUUGCGCCCUUUGGUAUUCCGAAGGGCAUGCCUGUUUGAGUGUCAUGAAACCUCACUCCACUUGGGUUUUUGCCUGAGUGAUAGUGUAUUGGGUGUUGCCUUGCCAAAGGCUCGCCUUAAAAGAAUAAGCACCUUGGAUGUAAUACGUUUCAUCCUUUCGGGUGGCUAAUAACCCCACAUAACUCAUGAUCUGGCCUCAAAUCAGGUAGGGCUACCCGCUGAACUUAAGCAUAUCAAUAAGCGGAGGAAAAGAAACUAACUAGGAUUCCCUUAGUAACGGCGAGUGAACCGGGAUGAGCUCAAAUUUGAAAUCUGGCGUCUUUCAGGCGUCCGAGUUGUAAUCUAUAGAGGCGUUUUCCGCGCCGGACCGCGUCCAAGUCUCUUGGAAUAGAGUAUCAAAGAGGGUGACAAUCCCGUACUUGACGCGACAACCGGUGCUCUGUGAUACGUUCUCAACGAGUCGAGUUGUUUGGGAAU